UCUGUAUGAUAAUUCGAAUAAAUCAAAUGAACUGAUUUGUGAUUUGAAAUCUGUUCCAGGUGGUGGAGGUGGCCAUAGUGGCGGCAGUCCUGGCAGCGGUGGAGGUGGCCAUGGAGGUGGCAGUCCUGGCAGCGGUGGAGGUGGCCAUGGAGGUGGCAGUCCUGGCAGCGAUGGUGGAGGCGGCGGCGACGGAGGUCAUGGUGGCGGCAAUUUUUCAUUCUGCCCAGCUAAGAACCAAUUUUGCGAAUGCGAAUGCAACUGUUAAAUUGGAUUUUCUUAUCCGUUCUGUGCAAACUUUUCAUGUUAAGCUAAUUGCCAAUUCUUUUUCUGCGUAGAAAUGUCUGUAUUUCUCCUAGUUGUAUUGGAGAUUUGUCUUCUCGUGAAUUGUUCUCUUUUUGAUUUAUUUUUAUUUUUAUUCUCUGGAAAUGGCUGAAAUAUCAAUAGGUUUAAUCAAUUUUCAUUAUUAAAAUAUUUUUUUCACUUAUGUAUCUUUUAUUGUGAAUAAAUUUUAUUAUU